rnacentral:rRNA from 1 species
CACGAAGUUAGCCGGGGCUUCUUCUCCGGCUACAGUCAUUAUCUUCACCGGUGAAAGUAUUUUACAAUCCUAAGACCUUCAUCAUACACGCGGCAUGGCUGCGUCAGGCUUUCGCCCAUUGCGCAAGAUUCCCCACUGCUGCCUCCCGUAGGAGUUUGGGCCGUGUCUCAGUCCCAAUGUGGCUGGUCAUCCUCUCAGACCAGCUACUGAUCGUAGCCUUGGUGAGCCAUUACCUCACCAACAAGCUAAUCAGACGCGGGCCGCUCUAAAGGCGAUAAAUCUUUCCCCCGAAGGGCACAUUCGGCAUUACCACCCGUUUCCAGGAGCUAUUCCGAACCUAAAGGCACGUUCCCACGUGUUACUCACCCGUCCGCCACUAACCCCGAAGGGUCCGUUCGACUUGCAUGUGUUAGGCCUGCCGCCAGCGUUCGCUCUGAGCCAGGAUCAAACUCU